rnacentral:rRNA from 1 species
AGUUUGAUCCUGGCUCAGGAUGAACGCUAGCUACAGGCUUAACACAUGCAAGUCGAGGGGCAGCAUGNACUUAGCUUGCUAAGUUUGAUGGCGACCGGNGCACGGGUGAGUAACACGUAUCCAACCUGCCGAUGACUCGGGGAUAGCCUUUCGAAAGAAAGAUUAAUACCCGAUGGCAUAGUUCUUCCGCAUGGUAGAACUAUUAAAGAAUUUCGGUCAUCGAUGGGGAUGCGUUCCAUUAGGUUGUUGGCGGGGUAACGGCCCACCAAGCCUUCGAUGGAUAGGGGUUCUGAGAGGAAGGUCCCCCACAUUGGAACUGAGACACGGUCCAAAUCCUACGGGAGGCAGCAGUGAGGAAUAUUGGUCAAUGGACGAGAGUCUGAACCAGCCAAGUAGCGUGAAGGAUGACUGCCCUAUGGGUUGUAAACUUCUUUUAUACGGGAAUAAAGUGAGGCACGUGUGCCUUUUUGUAUGUACCGUAUGAAUAAGGAUCGGCUAACUCCGUGCCAGCAGCCGCGGUAAUACGGAGGAUCCGAGCGUUAUCCGGAUUUAUUGGGUUUAAAGGGAGCGUAGGCGGACGCUUAAGUCAGUUGUGAAAGUUUGCGGCUCAACCGUAAAAUUGCAGUUGAUACUGGGUGUCUUGAGUACAGUAGAGGCAGGCGGAAUUCGUGGUGUAGCGGUGAAAUGCUUAGAUAUCACGAAGAACUCCGAUUGCGAAGGCAGCUUGCUGGACUGUAACUGACGCUGAUGCUCGAAAGUGUGGGUAUCAAACAGGAUUAGAUACCCUGGUAGUCCACACAGUAAACGAUGAAUACUCGCUGUUUGCGAUAUACAGUAAGCGGCCAAGCGAAAGCGUUAAGUAUUCCACCUGGGGAGUACGCCGGCAACGGUGAAACUCAAAGGAAUUGACGGGGGCCCGCACAAGCGGAGGAACAUGUGGUUUAAUUCGAUGAUACGCGAGGAACCUUACCCGGGCUUGAAUUGCAACUGAAUGAUGUGGAGACAUGUCAGCCGCAAGGCAGUUGUGAAGGUGCUGCAUGGUUGUCGUCAGCUCGUGCCGUGAGGUGUCGGCUUAAGUGCCAUAACGAGCGCAACCCUUAUCGAUAGUUACCAUCANGUUAUGCUGGGGACUCUGUCGAGACUGCCGUCG